rnacentral:rRNA from 1 species
AACGAACGCUGGCGGCAGGCUUAACACAUGCAAGUCGAACGGUUGUAGCAAUACAGCAGUGGCGCACGGGUGAGUAACGCGUGGAUAUCUGCCUUUUGGUUCGGAAUAACUCCGGGAAACUGGAGCUAAUACCGGAUGGUUCCUACGGGAUAAAGAUUUAUCGCCAAAAGAUGAGUCCGCGUACGAUUAGCUAGUUGGUGGGGUAAUGGCCCACCAAGGCGACGAUCGUUAGCUGGUCUGAGAGGACGAUCAGCCACACUGGGACUGAGACACGGCCCAGACUCCUACGGGAGGCAGCAGUGGGGAAUAUUGGACAAUGGGGGCAACCCUGAUCCAGCCAUGCCGCGUGAGUGAUGAAGGCCUUCGGGUUGUAAAGCUCUUUUGGCGGGGACGAUGAUGACGGUACCCGCAGAAUAAGCCCCGGCUAACUUCGUGCCAGCCGCCGCGGUAAAAC